UACAGACUCCUACGGGAGGCAGCAGUGGGGAAUAUUGGGCAAUGGGCGCAAGCCUGACCCAGCAACGCCGCGUGAAGGAAGAAGGCUUUCGGGUUGUAAACUUCUUUUCUCAGGGACGAAGCAAGUGACGGUACCUGAGGAAUAAGCCACGGCUAACUACGUGCCAGCAGCCGCGGUAAUACGUAGGUGGCAAGCGUUAUCCGGAUUUACUGGGUGUAAAGGGCGUGUAGGCGGGAAAGCAAGUCAGAUGUGAAAACCAUGGGCUCAACCUGUGGCCUGCAUUUGAAACUGUUUUUCUUGAGUACUGGAGAGGCAGACGGAAUUCCUAGUGUAGCGGUGAAAUGCGUAGAUAUCUGGAGGAACAUCAGUGGCGAAGGCGACUAUCUGGCACAUAACUGACGCUGAGGAGCGAAAGCGUGGGUAGCAAACAGGAUUAGAUACCCCAGUA
rnacentral:rRNA from 1 species